rnacentral:rRNA from 1 species
GGGGAUAAUACCGGAUGUUACCAUUGAAUCGCAUGGUUCGAUGGUCAAAACUGACCUCUUCUUGAAAGUUAGCGCUUGGAGAUGAGCUUGCGGACCAUUAGCUUGUUGGCGGGGUAACGGCCCACCAAGGCUGCGAUGGUUAGCCGACCUUAGAGGGUGAUCGGCCACAUUGGGACUGAGAUACGGCCCAGACUCCUACGGGAGGCAGCAGUAGGGAAUUUUGCGCAAUGGACGAAAGUCUGACGCAGCGACGCCGCGUGAGCGAUGAAGGCCUUCGGGUCGUAAAGCUCUGUUGAGUGGGAAGAAAAAUUCUAUGGCUAAUAUCCAUAGGACAUGACGGUACCAUUCGAGGAAGCCCCGGCUAACUACGUGCCAGCAGCCGCGGUAAUACGUAGGGGGCAAGCGUUGUUCGGAAUCACUGGGCGUAAAGGGAGUGUAGGCGGAACGGUAAGUUAGGAGUUAAAUACACGGGCUUAACCCGUGGCCUGCUUUUAAUACUGCCAUUCUUGAAUAUGGGAGAGGGUAAUGGAAUUCCAGGUGUAGCGGUGGAAUGCGUAGAUAUCUGGAAGAACACCAGUUGCGAAGGCGGUUACCUGGCCCAAUAUUGACGCUGAGGCUCGAAAGCGUGGGGAGCAAACAGGAUUAGAUACCCUGGUAGUCCACGCCGUAAACGAUGGAUACUAGUUGCUGGAGGAGUCAAUCCCUUCAGUGACGAAGCUAACGCAUUAAGUAUCCCGCCUGGGGAGUACGCUCGCAAGGGUGAAACUCAAAGGAAUUGACGGGGGCCCGCACAAGCGGUGGAGCAUGUGCUUUAAUUCGAUGCAACGCGAAGAACCUUACCUGGGUUUGACAUGGGAGUGAAAGUAACCAGAGAUGGAUGCCUUUCCUUCGGGAACACUCUACACAGGUGCUGCAUGGUUGUCGUCAGCUCGUGUCGUGAGAUGUUGGGUUAAGUCCCGCAACGAGCGCAACCCCUGUCCUUAGUUGCCAUCAGGUAAUGCUGGGAACUCUAAGGAGACUGCCUGGUUUAACCAGGAGGAAGGUGGGGAUGACGUCAAAUCCUCAUGGCCCUUACGCCCAGGGCUA